GAUGAACGCUGGCGGCGUGCUUAACACAUGCAAGUCGAACGGAAAGGCCCUGCUUUUGUGGGGUGCUCGAGUGGCGAACGGGUGAGUAACACGUGAGUAACCUGCCCUUGAAUUUGGGGUAACUUCAGGAAAAUAGGGCUAAUACCGGAUAAGAGAUCCUGCUGCCUGGUGGGGUUGGAAAGUUUCGGCGGUUGGGGAUGGACUCGCGGCUUAUCAGCUUGUUGUAGGGGUAGGGGUUUACCAAGGCUUUGACGGGUAGCCGGCCUUAGAGGGUGACCGGCCACAUUGGGACUGAGAUACGGCCCAGACGCCUACGUUAGGCAGAAGUGGGGAAUAUUGCACAACGGGCGGACGCCUGAUGCAGCAACGCCGCGUGCGUGAUGACGGCCUGCGGGUUGUAAACCGCUUGCGCCGGUGAUGAAUCGUGAGUGACGGUAAUAUGUAAAGAAGCACCGGCUAACUACGUG
rnacentral:rRNA from 1 species